rnacentral:rRNA from 1 species
ACUGGGCUUAAUUCUCCAUAGGAAAUUAGUACUGGAAGGUUUUCUUUCCCAGAGGAUUUGAACCAUGCUUCAAAUCCGCCUGAGGAUGAGUCUGCGGCGGAUUAGGUUGUUGGCGGGGUAACUGCCCACCAAGCCUAAGAUCUGUACGGGCCUUGAAAGAGGUGGCCCGGAGAAGGACACUGAGAUAAGGGUCCUAGCCCUACGGGGUGCAGCAGUCGCGAAACCUCUACAAUGCACGAAAGUGUGAUAGGGGGACUUCGAGUGCGCUCUACGAGUGCUUUUGCCAAGCCUAAAAAGCUUGGCGAAUAAGUGGGGGGUAAUAUACGUGCCAGCCGCCGCGGUAAUACGUAACCCACAAGUGGUAUCCUCUAAUAUUGGGCCUAAAACGUCUGUAGCCGGUUUUGUUAGUCUUUUGUGAAAUCAGCCAGCUCAACUGGUUGAAUCGCAAGAGAUACUGCAAGACUCGAGGCCGGAAGAGGUAAAGGGAAUUUCAGGGGUAACGGUGAAAUGUUAUGAUCCUUGAAAGACCACCAGUAGCGAAGGCGCUUUACCAGGACGGUCCUGACGGUGAGAGACGAAAGCUGGGGGAGCGACCAGGAUUAGAUACCCUGUUAGUCCCAGCCGUAAACGAUGUGGACUAGGUGUCCUAAUACCUAAGAGGUAUGGGGGUGCCGAAGCGAAGGCGUUAAGUCCACUGCCUGGGGAGUAUAAUCGCAAGGUUGAAACUUAAUGGAAUUGGCGGGGGCGCACUACAAGGGGUGGAUGCUGCGGUUCAUG